rnacentral:rRNA from 1 species
AUUGAACGCUGGCGGCAUGCCUUACACAUGCAAGUCGAACGGCAGCACGGGAGCAAUCCUGGUGGCGAGUGGCGAACGGGUGAGUAAUACAUCGGAACGUGCCCAGUAGUGGGGGAUAGCCCGGCGAAAGCCGGAUUAAUACCGCAUACGACCUAUGGGUGAAAGCGGGGGAUCGCAAGACCUCGCGCUAUUGGAGCGGCCGAUGGCAGAUUAGCCUGUUGGUGGGGUAAAAGCCUACCAAGGCGACGAUCUGUAGCUGGUCUGAGAGGACGACCAGCCACACUGGGACUGAGAGACGGCCCAGACUCCUACGGGAGGCAGCAGUGGGGAAUUUUGGACAAUGGGGGCAACCCUGAUCCAGCCAUGCCGCGUGCGGGAAGAAGGCCUUCGGGUUGUAAACCGCUUUUGUCAGGGAAGAAACAGUCCGAUCUAAUAAAUCGGACUAAUGACGGUACCUGAAGAAUAAGCACCGGCUAACUACGUGCCAGCAGCCGCCGCGGUAA